rnacentral:lncRNA from 10 species
GUGCCAGCCAACUGUGGCUGCCUGGGACACUCCAUCUUAAGUCCCUGUGCCUCUGCUGUGUGUUACUGAGUGCCUAGGCCGUGCCAGCCUGUAUUCAUCUGUACUAUGACCUGAAGAGGCAGAGGCCAUCACUGUUGGUCCGGUCUCCACCUGGGGAAACUGAGGUGUCUCUGUGGUGACGAGCAGGGCUUCAUCCAGUGCCUCUGUCCCCACCGAGGGGACUAUGGGAGACAUGGAGGGUGUGUGAGCAACAGGUGAGACUGGAGCCAGCUGAAAACUGGGAGACCGACCCAGCCAACAAACAAUGUCGGUCUCUGUCUUGGCACCUGCAGGAAACAAGCUCCUACUUCCAGAAAAAGUGCUCCUGGGACUCCAGGAUACCAGAUCCUUCCCUGGCACCGGUUCCAGGAGGACCUCGUUCUUAGGCAGCAUCUGUGUCUCUGUUUUGUAAGACACACAGAGUAUCCUUAACCCACUGCAGAUAUUUCCCUGGGUCCAUGGUCAAUCAACACCACCUUUCAGUCUCCAGCCUCUUAACCAGCCCAGGGCUGAGUGUUGUUUAUAGUAUUAAUAUGUUUCUGGCUGGGCUCAGUGGCUCAUGCCUGUAAUCCCGGCACUAUGGGAGGCUGAGGCAGGCGGAUCACUUGAGGUCAGGAGUUCAAGACCAGCCUGGCCAACAUAGUAAAACCCCGUCUCUACUAAAAAUACAAAAAUGAGCCGGGUGUGGUGGCGUGUGUCUAUAAUCCCAGCUACUCGGGAGGCUGAGGCAGGAGAAUUGCUUGAACCUGGGAGGUGGAGGCUACAGUGAGCUGAGAUCAUGCCACUGCACUCCAGCCUGGGCAAGAAAGUGAGACUCCAUCUCAAAACAAAGAAACAAACAAAGUAUUAAUAUGUUCCCCUUGAUCAGUGGGGUGGUUCACCCUUGUAAUCCCAGCACUUUGGGAGGCAGAGGCUGGCGGAUCGCUUGAGUCCAGGAGUUCGAGACCAGCCUGGGUGAA